UUGAAGCUGUUGCAUUUACUGUCAAUUAACAGGACUUAAAAUUUGUGACAGAAAUUUUGGCUGGAAGGAAUGUCUGGAGGUCAUCAGGUCCAACCUCCUGAAGCAGCACUGCCAUUUUACCACGUUAGGUAUGGCUUUGUCCAGCUAAGUCUUACAAACCUCCAAGGACAGAGGUCCCACAACCUCCCUGAGUACCCUGCAUUAUCCCUGACAAAAACUGGAAGUUUUUUCUAAGAUCCAUCCCAGCCACAAUCUUUGAAUGUUCCUCCUUGCUGGCAAUACCAGAAUUUUGUCUUGUUUCAUUUGUGUAAAUACCCCAAAAAUAGUUGUAGACUAUUAUUGAAUCAUCCCUUAGUCUCUUUAUCAGAUUAAACAAGAUUAAACAAUUCAAUUCUCUCAACUGCCACUUUUUCCUUAAGGCUCCUGACCAUUUUAACAGUUCUCUGCUGCUCUCUCUCCAGUUUUUAUCAUCCAUCUCAUACUGGAAGACCAAAAAAGGACACAAUAUUCCAGUUGAAGCUUUACCAGACAGUGAUUUAACCCAAUUUUCCAGGGCCAUGCAGCACACCUGUAGUUUCUGCACUGUUCCUUCUCUUUCCCACCAACUCAAUGCUCUCUGGACAUGCAGCUUUUAAAUUUUUUUCCUUUUGUUACCUCUGAGAGUUUGUCUGGCUACGGUUUGGGGGAAACAGAUGCUUUGAUGCUUUGCUAUUGAUGUAAACUGUGGAGGUGGCCACAAAGUCACCUCUGCAGAGGCACACCUACUCUUGAUAGACACAGUCAAAAAUGUUGGUGUUGGGCAGAAGUUGAAAUAAAAAAGCACAUAUGUACACCUUCUAUGAGAUGCGCAUUCACUGAAACUCCCCAGAGGGGUGUGGUUACUGCAAGAAAAAUAAACUUUAGUUCAAGGUUGUUUCUGAACUUGCUGUUGCUAUUUGUUGCAAAUCCAAGAAAGAUUGCUUGGUAGCAAUCCUCUCACUUGUGCUUCUGCUGCAGAUUCUCAAAGACCUGUCUGGAUGAAGCCUCCUAUAUCUGAACUUACCAUGUACAUUUUCUUAACAGCUGGAGAAGGAAAACAAGAGUUUCCAGAAGGUGGUUCAGCUGGAUGACAUCCCAGAGUCACCCACUGACAGUUCCUUUCUCUCUCCCUUCAAUACAAGAGGAGCACAGAAAAGGAGCACAGGUGUCUCCUUUGGACACAUGGGAUCUGUCCAGCCCGAAGGGAAACUACAGCCUGAAGAGCUCCUCUCCAGUUUUCUAGUUCAGCACCGUGGUCUCUGGCCUCAGACAUCUCUGCACCACUGAAAGCUCUGUAGAACACUUGAGAGUUUUGCCAGCACCUACAUAGGAGUGCUGCCUGUAUGGGGUUUGUGUGGAUUGCUGCCCAGCAGUUAAUGCACAGGCAUGCAGAAAACUCAAGAAAAGGCUAUUGAGAAAAGCCAGUGGGUUGCAGUAAGAAAGAUUCAAAUCUGCAUGGCAAUGCCUUGGAAUAAUGUUUACAUGCCAGCAAAGACAACACCUUCACUAGCUUGACUUGAAUUUCUUCAAAAA